UGGAACCAUCUUCCGACUAUACAUUGCUUUGAUAACAAAUCUGCACAUUUUACGACACGCUUAACUCUCAAAGCGUAUUGUUAGUCGUUCUCACUCUCUGACGGAUACCUAAAUUUUACGAUUUAGUAUCUGAAUAUCUCCCAAAAAAAAACAAUCCACUUUGUGCUUGCCACAUAUUUACAAGGAUAAAAUUCCAACGAGCCAGCAAUCUUUCUAGAUGAUAA
rnacentral:lncRNA from 1 species